rnacentral:rRNA from 1 species
ACGGGUGAGUAACACGUAUCCAACCUGCCGUCUACUCUUGGACAGCCUUCUGAAAGGAAGAUUAAUACAAGAUGGCAUCAUGAGUCCGCAUGUUCACAUGAUUAAAGGUAUUCCGGUAGACGAUGGGGAUGCGUUCCAUUAGAUAGUAGGCGGGGUAACGGCCCACCUAGUCUACGAUGGAUAGGGGUUCUGAGAGGAAGGUCCCCCACAUUGGAACUGAGACACGGUCCAA